rnacentral:rRNA from 1 species
AUGGCAAAAGUGUCCGGUGAGGAGCUAGGAGCCGAGCACGCCAACGGCGCGGAGCUGUUCGUCAUCAAGAGGAUGAUGGACGCCAUUAGGGAUCACCGGACCAAGCUCAACAUCUCCCUUGGCUUCGUCGACGCUGUGUCUCUGAGGGUUGCCGCCGUUCGCGACGACAAAGCUCCAGGCGUGGGCGCGCACGGCAAAGGCGAAGACGACCAGAGCCACCUGAACUUCUGUAUCAACGAGCAUCGAUUGAGCAUUUCAGUGUUGCCGGAAGACACAUGCGUACAGGGCUGGCUUGAUAUAGUCAUGUACAAGCACGAACUAGUACGUGAGUCAGUGAGUCCGGCUUGA